CAGUAGCCGCGGUAAGACAGAGGAUGCAAGCGUUAUCCGGAAUGAUUGGGCGUAAAGCGUCUGUAGGUGGCUUUUCAAGUCCGCCGUCAAAUCCCAGGGCUCAACCCUGGACAGGCGGUGGAAACUACCAAGCUGGAGUACGGUAGGGGCAGAGGGAAUUUCCAGUGGAGCGGUGAAAUGCGUUGAGAUCGAAAAGAACACCAACAGCGAAAGCACUCUGCUGGGACGACACUGACACUAAGAGACGAAAGCUAGGGGAGCAAAUGGGAUUAGAGACCCCGGUAGUCCCUGUCUCUUAUAC
rnacentral:rRNA from 1 species